rnacentral:rRNA from 1 species
GACGAACGCUGGCGGCGUGCUUAACACAUGCAAGUCGAACGGAAAGGCCCUGCUUUUGUGGGGUGCUCGAGGGGCGAACGGGGGAGUAACACGUGAGUAACCUGCCCUUGACUUUGGGAUAACUUCAGGAAACUGGGGCUAAUACCGGAUAGGAGCUCCUGCUGCAUGGUGGGGGCUGGAAAGUUUCGGCGGUUGGGGAUGGACACGCGGCUUAUCAGCUUGUUGGUGGGGUAGUGGCUGAGCAAGGCUUUGACGGGUAGCCGGCCUGAGAGGGUGACCGGCCACAUUGGGCCUGGGAUGCGGCCCAGCCUCCUACGGGAGGCAGCGGUGGGGAAUAUUGCACUAUGGGCGGAAGCCUGAUGCAGCAACGCCGCGUGCGGGAUGACGGCCUUCGGGUUGGAAACCGCUUUCGCCUGUGACGAAGCGUUAGUGACGGUAACGGGUAAAGAAGCACCGGCUAACUACGUG